CUCGUUGAAAUCGCGAUGAACUCUCUCAAAAUCGGUCACAGGCGACUGAAAUCGUCAUCACCGGCGGCUGAGAUCUCUAUCAUCCUUCGGGCUGAUGAAAUCGGAUGAGUGAGAGAAAGUGAGUCGACGUUCUUCUUCACCAAAUCUUGGAGUAGACGUCAACAAAUCUGGUAAGUUCAAUUCGUUCACCAGUUAAUUGUUGCAUGUUUGACGAAUUUAAUAGUUUGAUUUGAUGAAAUUUGAGGGUUAAUUGAUUAAGGUUCAUAGAUUUGGGAAUUUAGGGUUUUCGGAUUAUUUGGGGAUCUUGAAUAAAUUGUUCAAAUUGAUAAUUUUCGCAUAUGAUUGUAACAUUUAUGAGUCAUAUUUGUUAAAAAAAGUGUAGAUUUUUGUGAUUUUUCUUUUGAAUUACUGACAUGUUUUGAUGAAAUUGCUAUAUGUUUUUGUGAGGUUAAACCGGUGGUACAUGGAGUUAUAUGAAUGAAUGUACUUCAGCUGAUGCAAAUAAUGGAUUUGGCUCCAAAAAAUGAGUAUUGUUUUUGUGUUUCAUGUGUUUUGGAGACUUCACCAAAGCUAACAAGAGUUCACGAACCAAAGUGAUAAAGAAGAGUACACACACAAGAAUUCACGGGUGAGAUAAGUUGAAGGAUAAGAGUCACAAGACAAGAAGUGAACGGCUGAGAUAAGUUGAAAGACAAGUCACAAGAGUUCACAGACCAUUUUGUAUUUGUGGUUAUUAUUCAUUCACCACAUAUGUAUUGUCUGUAUUAUGCACGUCACAAGUAAUCAACACAAACCAACACCACAAGAAAUUCUUCUAUAUUAACACCAUCUAUGAGACACAUGAUCACUUAUUCCAACUUCUCUUUCUUAUUUCAUUUUUUUCCAACUUCUCUUGGUUCCAUCUAAAUUUUUUCUGUUUACAAGUUCAUUUUCUCUAAAUAUUACCAAUAAUUUUCAAAAUUUGUUUACAACAAAAUGUCUUCUUCUUCUUCUUCACAUAAUCUCCAAGAUAUGAUGAACGACACAUUUAAUCAAGCAUUUAAUCAAGCUUUCGACGAUCAUAUCGAAAAUUAUGGUGAUCAUCAAGAAACAACCAAGAAGAAGAAAAAAACGCGCCUAUAUUGAAAGAGAUCGUGAACAAGGAAACAUCUGGUAUGAGAAGAUUAUUUCAAAGAAGGUGCAACGAAUCCACCUAAUAUAGACAAGAUGCUAUCGGAAGGUUGGGUCUCUCUGCACUACAAAAGACAACAGCCGCCAUUCAUAUGUUGGCAUACGGUACUGCAGCAGAUGUGGUUGAUGAAUACUUGCGAAUUGGUGUAACCACUGCGCUUUCAUGUUUGGAACAUUUUGUUGAAGGAAUCAUACAACUGUUCGGAGAUGAGAAUCUAAGAAAACCGACACCACAAGAUCUUCAACGACUACUGAAUAUUGGUGAGAUACGUGGAUUUCCUAGGAUGAUAGGAAGCAUAAUUAAUGUAUUUAUUUUCUUGU